rnacentral:rRNA from 1 species
GACGAACGCUGGCGGCGUGCCUAACACAUGCAAGUCGAGCGGAGAUACAUUGAAGAGUAAUCGGAGAUGUAUUUUAGCGGCGGACGGGUGAGUAACGCGUGGGCAACCUACCUUUCACAGGGGGAUAACACUGGGAAACUAGUGCUAAUACCGCAUAAGAUAAUAACAGGACAUCCUGUAGAUAUCAAAGGAGCAAUCCGGUGAGAGAUGGGCCCGCGUCCAAUUAGCUAGUUGGUGAGGUAACGGCCCACCAAGGCGACGAUUGGUAGCCGAACUGAGAGGUUGAUCGGCCACAUUGGGACUGAGACACGGCCCAGACUCCUACGGGAGGCAGCAGUGGGGAAUAUUGCGCAAUGGGGGGAACCCUGACGCAGCAACGCCGCGUGAAGGAUGAAGGUUUUCGGAUUGUAAACUUCUUUGAUGAGGGACGAAAAAGAUGACGGUACCUCAAAAACAAGCCACGGCUAACUACGUG